rnacentral:rRNA from 1 species
GAGUUUGAUCGUGGCUCAGAUUGAACGCUGGCGGCAGGCCUAACACAUGCAAGUCGAGCGGAUGACGGGAGCUUGCUCCUUGAUUCAGCGGCGGACGGGUGAGUAAUGCCUGGGAAUCUGCCUGGUGGUGGGGGACAACGUUUCGAAAGGAACGCUAAUACCGCAUACGUCCUACGGGAGAAAGCAGGGGACCUUCGGGCCUUGCGCUAUCAGAUGAGCCUAGGUCGGAUUAGCUAGUUGGUGGGGUAAUGGCUCACCAAGGCGACGAUCCGUAACUGGUCUGAGAGGAUGAUCAGUCACACUGGAACUGAGACACGGUCCAGACUCCUACGGGAGGCAGGCAGUGGGGAAUAUUGGACAAUGGGCGAAAGCCUGAUCCAGCCAUGCCGCGUGUGUGAAGAAGGUCUUCGGAUUGUAAAGCACUUUAAGUUGGGAGGAAGGGCAGUAAGUUAAUACCUUGCUGUUUUGACGUUACCGACAGAAUAAGCACCGGCUAACUCUGUGCCAGCCGCCGC